rnacentral:rRNA from 1 species
GACGAACGCUGGCGGCGUGCUUAACACAUGCAAGUCGAACGGAAAGGCCCUGCUUUUGUGGGGUGCUCGAGUGGCGAACGGGUGAGUAACACGUGAGUAACCUGCCCUUGACUUUGGGAUAACUUCAGGAAACUGGGGCUAAUACCGGAUAGGAGCUCCUGCUGCAUGGUGGGGGUUGGAAAGUUUCGGCGGUUGGGGAUGGACUCGCGGCUUAUCAGCUUGUUGGUGGGGUAGUGGCUUACCAAGGCUUUGACGGGUAGCCGGCCUGAGAGGGUGACCGGCCACAUUGGGACUGGGAGACGGCCCAGACUCCUACGGGAGGCAGGAGUGGGGAAUAUUGCACAAGGGGCGGAAGCCUGAUGCAGCAACGCCGCGUGCGGGAUGACGGCCUUCGGGUGGUAAACCGCUUUCGCCUGUGACGAAGCGUGAGGGACGGUAAUGGGUAAAGAAACACCGGCUAACUACGU